UACGUAGGGUGCAAGCGUUAAUCGGAAUUACUGGGCGUAAAGCGUGCGCAGGCGGUGAUGUAAGACAGGUGUGAAAUCCCCGGGCUUAACCUGGGAACUGCAUUUGUGACUGCAUUGCUGGAGUGCGGCAGAGGGGGAUGGAAUUCCGCGCGUAGCAGUGAAAUGCGUAGAUAUGCGGAGGAACACCGAUGGCGAAGGCAAUCCCCUGGGCCUGCACUGACGCUCAUGCACGAAAGCGUGGGGAGCAAACAGG
rnacentral:rRNA from 1 species